GGCUGCGUUACCACCGACCAGUCCUCAGCCGGCAACAUGAAGCUGGGUGGCCUCUGCCUCCUGCUCCUCCUCGCCGUCCUUCUCACCCUCAAUGCAGAGUUCCAAGCAGUUGAUGUAGGUAUCUGUGUGACGGAGUGCAAGGUAGACCAGGACUGUGGGGCAGGAAGACGAUGCACCAGCAAUGGAUGUGGCCGGGUCUGCUCCCCAGUCCGGCGAAGAGAGGCCUGCGAGCACCAGUGCAGAGAAGACAGGGACUGUGGGAGUGGACAUCAGUGCGUGAGGAAGGGCUGUGGGCACGUCUGCGCCCCCGUCCAUCAAGUCGGUAUCUGUGUGACGGAGUGCAACGUAGACCAGGACUGUGGGGAAGGAAGACAAUGCACCAGCAAUGGGUGUGGCCGUGUCUGCUCCCCAGUCCAGCAAGAAGAUGUAGGUAUCUGUGUGACGGAGUGCAAGGUAGACCAGGACUGUGGGGAAGGAAGACGAUGCACCAGCAAUGGGUGUGGCCGUGUCUGCUCCCCAGUCCAGCAAAAAGAGGCCUGCGAGCACCAGUGCAGAGAAGACAGGGACUGUGGGAGUGGACAUCAGUGCGUGAGGAAGGGCUGUGGGCACGUCUGCGCCCCCGUCCAUCAAGUCGAUGUAGGUAUCUGUGUGACGGAGUGCCGUGUAGACCAGGACUGUGGGGAAGGAAGACAAUGCACCAGCAAUGGAUGUGGCCGUGUCUGCUCCCCAGCCCAGCAAAGAGAGGCCUGCGAGCACCAAUGCAGAGAAGACAAGGACUGUGGGAGUGGACAUCAGUGCGUGAGGAAGGGCUGUGGGCACGUCUGCUCCCCCAUCCCUCAAGUAGGUAUCUGUGUGACGGAGUGCAAUGUAGACCAGGACUGUGGGGCAGGAAGACGAUGCACCAGCAAUGGAUGUGGCCGUGUCUGCUCCCCACCCCAGGGAGGAGGACUCUGUGUGGACCGCUGCCGAGGAAACUGGGACUGUGGGGCCGGAGAAGAAUGUAUCAGGAAGGGAUGUGGACGGGUCUGCUCUCCAGCCCAGGAGCCAGGUAAGAGCCCUGCCUAGGUCUCCAACCCCACACAACCCAGGAGGGGACUGUGUGCUUACCUCUGCCUGGACUCCCCUUCCUUAGAGGGUUAAUUCCCA
rnacentral:lncRNA from 1 species